CCUACGGGGUGCAGCAGUGAGGAAUAUUGGUCAAUGGACGAGAGUCUGAACCAGCCAAGUAGCGUGAAGGAUGACUGCCCUAUGGGUUGUAAACUUCUUUUAUAUGGGAAUAAAAUGUUCCACGUGUAGGAUUUUGUAUGUACCAUAUGAAUAAGGAUCGGCUAACUCCGUGCCAGCAGCCGCGGUAAUACGGAGGAUCCGAGCGUUAUCCGGAUUUAUUGGGUUUAAAGGGAGCGUAGGUGGAUUGUUAAGUCAGUUGUGAAAGUUUGCGGCUCAACCGUAAAAUUGCAGUUGAAACUGGCAGUCUUGAGUACAGUAGAGGUGGGCGGAAUUCGUGGUGUAGCGGUGAAAUGCUUAGAUAUCACGAAGAACUCCGAUUGCGAAGGCAGUUCACUGGACUGCAACUGACACUGAGGCUCGAAAGUGUGGGUAUCAAACAGGAUUAGAUACCCCUGUAGUC
rnacentral:rRNA from 1 species